CACAUACUCCCUUCAUCCGGGAAUAAUUGUCCUAGAAAUGAAUGUAUCUAGACUUAUUUUAGUUAUAGGUACAUCCAUUUUAUUCAUUUCCAGAACAAGUAUAUCCGGACGGAGGGAGUAUAUG
rfam:Hordeum vulgare subsp. vulgare, WGS project CAJW01000000 data, contig: morex_contig_199759